rnacentral:SRP_RNA from 1 species
UGCGGCCCCCUGCGCGGUGGCAUCUCCGGGAACUCCCCCAGGGCAGAAAUGCAGCAAGGGCACCGGGGCUCUGCCAGGUGCGCAGGGGGUCUUGUCA